GACGAACGCUGGCGGCGUGCCUAAUACAUGCAAGUAGAACGCACAGUUUAUACCGUAGCUUGCUACACCAUAGACUGUGAGUUGCGAACGGGUGAGUAACGCGUAGGUAACCUGCCUGGUAGCGGGGGGUAACUAUUGGAAACGAUAGCUAAUACCGCAUAAUAUUGAUUAUUGCAUGGUAAUUGAUUGAAAGAUGCUAUUGCAUCACUACCAGAUGGACCUGCGUUGUAUUAGCUAGUAGGUGAGGUAACGGCUCACCUAGGCGACGAUACAUAGCCGACCUGAGAGGGUGAUCGGCCACACUGGGACUGAGACACGGCCCAGACUCCUACGGGAGGCAGCAGUAGGGAAUCUUCGGCAAUAGACGAAAGUCUGACCGAGCAACGCCGCGUGAGUGAAGAAGGUUUUCGGAUCGUAAAGCUCUGUUGUAAGAGAAGAACGGGUGUGAGAGUGGAAAGUUCACACUGUGACGGUAUCUUACCAGAAAGGGACGGCUAACUACGUG
rnacentral:rRNA from 1 species